UACGUAGGGUGCGAGCGUUAAUCGGAAUUACUGGUCGUAAAGCGUGCGCAGGCGGUUCGUUGUGUCGGCGGUGAAAGCCCCGGGCUUAACCUGGGAAUGGCCGUUGAAACUGGCGAACUGGAGUGUGGCAGAGGGGGGUGGAAUUCCGCGUGUAGCAGUGAAAUGCGUAGAGAUGUGGAGGAACACCGAUGGCGAAGGCAGCCCCCUGGGCCAGAACUGACGCUCAGGCACGAAAGCGUGGGGAGCAAACAGG
rnacentral:rRNA from 1 species